UACGAAGGGGGCUAGCGUUGCUCGGAUUCAUUGGGCGUAAAGGGUGCGUAGGCGGCGCGGUAAGUCGGGUGUGAAAUCUCGGAGCUUAACUCCGAAACUGCAUUCGAUACUGCCGUGCUUGAGGACUGGAGAGGAGACUGGAAUUUACGGUGUAGCGGUGAAAUACGUAGAUAUCUGGAGGAAUACCGGUGGCGAAGGCGGCUAUCUGGCUAAGUACUGACACUGAAACACGAAAGCGUGGGGAGCAAACAGG
rnacentral:rRNA from 1 species